AUUGAACGCUGGCGGCAGGCCUAACACAUGCAAGUCGAACGAGUGGCGGACGGGUGAGUAAUGUCUGGGAAACUGCCUGAUGGAGGGGGAUAACUACUGUAAAAGGUAGCUAAUACUGCAUCACACCAGAUGUGCCCAGAUGGGAUUAGCUAGUUGGUGGGGUAACGGCUUACCAAGACGACGCUCGCUAGCUGGUCUGCGAGGAUGAUCAGCCAGACUGGAACUGAGAAACGGUCCAGACUCCUACGGGAGGCAGCAGUGGGGAAUAUUGCACAAUGGGCGCAAGCCUGAUGCAGCCAUGCGGCGUGUAUGAAGAAGGCCUUCGGGUUGUAAAGUACUUUUAGCGGAGAAGCGUUACCCGCAGAAGAAGCACCGGCUAACUCCGUGCCAGCCGCCGCGGUAAUUC
rnacentral:rRNA from 1 species